rnacentral:rRNA from 1 species
UACACAUGCAAGUCGAACGGUGAACCGGGCUUCGGCCCGGGGAUCAGUGGUGAACGGGUGCGUAACACGUGGGCAACCUGCCCCUCACUCUGGGAUAACCCCGGGAAACCGGAGCUAAUACCGGAUACUCCGACCGGUCCGCAUGGUCUGGUCGGGAAAAGUCCGCUGGUGAGGGAUGGGCCCGCGGCCUAUCAGCUUGUUGGUGGGGUAACGGCCUACCAAGGCGACGACGGGUAGCUGGUCUGAGAGGACGANCAGCCACACUGGGACUGAGAUACGGCCCAGACUCCUACGGGAGGCAGCAGUGGGGAAUCUUGCGCAAUGGGCGAAAGCCUGACGC